rnacentral:rRNA from 1 species
AGAACGAACGCUGGCGGCAUGCCUAAUACAUGCAAGUCGAACGAACACUUCGGUGUUAGUGGCGCACGGGUGCGUAUCGCGUGGGAAUCUGCCCUUGAGUUCGGAAUAACAGUUGGAAACGACUGCUAAUACCGGAUGAUAUCGAAAGAUACAAAGAUUUAUCGCCAGGGAUGAGCCCGCGUAGGAUUAGCUAGUUGGUAGAGGUAAAGGCUCACCAAGGCGACGAUCCUUAGCUGGUCUGAGAGGAUGAUCAGCCACACGUGGGACUGAGACACGGCCCAGACCUCCGUACGGGAGCAGACGAGGUAGGGAAUA